GUGCCAGCAGCCGCGGUAAUACGUAGGUGGCGAGCGUUAUCCGGAAUUAUUGGGUUUAAAGGGUCCGUAGGCGGACCGAUAAGUCAGUGGUGAAAUCUCAUAGCUUAACUAUGAAACUGCCGUUGAUACUGUCGGUCUUGAGUAAAUUAGAGGUAGCUGGAAUAAGUAGUGUAGCGGUGAAAUGCAUAGAUAUUACUUAGAACACCAAUUGCGAAGGCAGGUUACCAUGAUUUAACUGACGCUGAGGGACGAAAGCGUGGGGAGCGAACAGGAUUAGAAACCCCCGUAGUCC
rnacentral:rRNA from 1 species